CUUAGGCAGGCAAUUCCAAUAAUAGCCAAUUAGCAAGGAUUUACAUAAAACUAAAAGAUGGAAGUUGUGUUAGCUACUAUUGUCUCAACUAAAUAGUGGGUGGUUGGCUCAGACCUUUCAGAGCUUCAAGGUUGACCAGCCUUCCGGGUUCCUUGUCCACACCUCUCUGCUAGUGAAGGCAAUGGGCGGCUUCCAACAUGUAUAAAAAAAAAUUUGAAAUAAAAAGUUAUAGCAUUCA